GCCCAGCUUGCUGGGUUGAUUAGUGGCGAACGGGUGAGUAACACGUGAGUAACCUGCCCCUGACUCUGGGAUAAGCGUUGGAAACGACGUCUAAUACUGGAUAUGAUCACUGGUCGCAUGGCCUGGUGGUGGAAAGAUUUUUUGGUUGGGGAUGGACUCGCGGCCUAUCAGCUUGUUGGUGAGGUAAUGGCUCACCAAGGCGACGACGGGUAGCCGGCCUGAGAGGGUGACCGGCCACACUGGGACUGAGACACGGCCCAGACUCCUACGGGAGGCAGCAGUGGGGAAUAUUGCACAAUGGGCGAAAGCCUGAUGCAGCAACGCCGCGUGAGGGAUGACGGCCUUCGGGUUGUAAACCUCUUUUAGUAGGGAAGAAGCGAAAGUGACGGUACCUGCAGAAAAAGCACCGGCUAACUACGUGCCAGCAGCCGCGGUAAUACGUAGGGUGCAAGCGUUGUCCGGAAUUAUUGGGCGUAAAGAGCUCGUAGGCGGUUUGUCGCGUCUGCUGUGAAAUCCCGAGGCUCAACCUCGGGCUUGCAGUGGGUACGGGCAGACUAGAGUGCGGUAGGGGAGAUUGGAAUUCCUGGUGUAGCGGUGGAAUGCGCAGAUAUCAGGAGGAACACCGAUGGCGAAGGCAGAUCUCUGGGCCGUAACUGACGCUGAGGAGCGAAAGCAUGGGGAGCGAACAGGAUUAGAUACCCUGGUAGUCCAUGCCGUAAACGUUGGGCGCUAGAUGUAGGGACCUUUCCACGGUUUCUGUGUCGUAGCUAACGCAUUAAGCGCCCCGCCUG
rnacentral:rRNA from 1 species